rnacentral:rRNA from 1 species
GACGAACGCUGGCGGCGUGCUUAACACAUGCAAGUCGAACGAAGUGGCGAACGGGUGAGUAACGCGUAAUCAACCUGCCCUUCAGAGGGGGACAACAGUUGGAAAGGUCUGCUAAUACCGCAUACUGAAGGAGGGGAUUGCGUCUGAUUAGCUAGUUGGAGGGGUAACGGCCCACCAAGGCGAGGAUCAGUAGCCGGUCUGAGAGGAUGAACGGCCACAUUGGGACCGGGACACGGCCCAGGCUCCUACGGGGGGCAGCAGUGGGGAAUCUUCCGCAAUGGACGAAAGUCUGACGGAGCAACGCCGCGUGAGUGAUGACGGCCUUCGGGUUGUAAAGCUCUGUUAAUCGGGACGCGGUACCGGAAUAGAAAGCCACGGCUAACUACGUGCCAGCAGCCGCGGUAAUAC